CAGUCGCCGCGGGAAUACGUAGGGUGCAAGCGUUAAUCGGAAUUACUGGGCGUAAAGCGUGCGUAGGCGGCUUCUUAAGUCGGAUGUGAAAUCCCUGAGCUUAACUUAGGAAUUGCAUUCGAUACUGGGAAGCUAGAGUAUGGGAGAGGAUGGUAGAAUUCCAGGUGUAGCGGUGAAAUGCGUAGAGAUCUGGAGGAAUACCGAUGGCGAAGGCAGCCAUCUGGCCUAAUACUGACGCUGAGGUACGAAAGCAUGGGGAGCAAACAGGAUUAGAUACCCCUGUAGUCCCUGUCUCUUAUAC
rnacentral:rRNA from 1 species